UACGUAGGGGGCAAGCGUUGUCCGGAUUUAUUGGGCGUAAAGAGCGUGUAGGCGGUUCGGUAGGUCCGUUGUGAAAACUCGAGGCUCAACCUCGAGACGCCGGUGGAAACCAUCAGACUAGAGUCCGGAAGAGGAGAGUGGAAUUCCUGGUGUAGCGGUGAAAUGCGCAGAUAUCAGGAAGAACACCCGUGGCUAAGGCGGCUCUCUAGUACGGUACUGACGCUGAGACGCGAAAGCGUGGGGAGCGAACAGG
rnacentral:rRNA from 1 species